UACGUAGGGUGCAAGCGUUGUCCGGAAUUAUUGGGCGUAAUGAGCUCGUAGGCGGCUUGUCGCGUCGGCUGUGAAAACCUGGGGCUCAACCCCGGGCCUGCAGCCGAUACGGGCAAGCUAGAAUUCGGUAGGGGAGACUGGAAUUCCUGGUGUAGCGGUGAAAUGCGCAGAUAUCAGGAGGAACACCGGUGGCGAAGGCGGGUCUCUGGGCCGAAAUUGACGCUGAGGAGCGAAAGCGUGGGGAGCGAACAGG
rnacentral:rRNA from 1 species